AGUGAACGCUGGCGGUAGGCCUAACACAUGCCAGUCGAACGGCAGCACAGUAAGAGCUUGCUCUUACGGGUGGCGAGUGGCGGACGGGUGAGGAAUACAUCGGAAUCUACUUUUUCGUGGGGGAUAACGUAGGGAAACUUACGCUAAUACCGCAUACGACCUACGGGUGAAAGCAGGGGAUCUUCGGACCUUGCGCGAUUGAAUGAGCCGAUGUCGGAUUAGCUAGUUGGCGGGGUAAAGGCCCACCAAGGCGACGAUCCGUAGCUGGUCUGAGAGGAUGAUCAGCCACACUGGAACUGAGACACGGUCCAGACUCCUACGGGAGGCAGCAGUGGGGAAUACUGGACAAUGGGCGCAAGCCUGAUCCAGCCAUACCGCGUGGGUGAAGAAGGCCUUCGGGUUGUAAAGCCCUUUUGUUGGGAAAGAAAAGCAGCAGGUUAAUACCCCGCUGUUCUGACGGUACCCAAAGAAUAAGCACCGGCUAACUUCGUG
rnacentral:rRNA from 1 species